ACGACCAUAUCAUGCUGAAUAUACCGGUUCUCGUUAGAUCACCGAAGUCAAGCAUCAGUACUUGGGAGGGUGACCACCUGGGAACACCGCGUGCCGUUG
rnacentral:rRNA from 1 species